AGGCAUGCGCCACCAUGCCCAAAUAAUUUUUGUAUUUUUAGUAGAGAUGGGGCCUUGCCAUGUAGGCCAGGCUGGUCUCAAACUCCUGAACUCAAGUGAUCUGCCCGCCUCAGCCUCCCAAAGUGCUGGGAUUACAGGCGUGAGCCACAGCGCCCAGUUAAUUGUUGUACUUUUAGUAGAGAUGGGGUUUCGCCAUGUUGGCCAGGCUGGUCUCGAACUCCUGACCUCAGGUGAUCCACCUGCCUUAGCCUCCCAGACUGCUGGGAUUAAGGCGUGAGCCCCCGCACCCGGCCCCAAACCCUUUCUGAAAGAUGAUUCUCCCACUGGCCCGAAUAACUGAAUAUGGACAAAUGUCAGCUCAGCCUGCAGCACUGUAGGGGCAGACCACCACGGUGGAACAGAGUCCCGAGCUGGCAGCGUCCGGGAGCUGCAAGUGUCCCUAGCCAACACUGGCCAGAACGGGGACCCUGGCCCUGCAAAGGUAAGGCACUGAGCUCUGUCAAUAACCAGUGGGCUCAGAAGAAGACCCCAAGAUGAUGGACCCCAAAAAACAACCCUCAGUUACAACCUCCUGAGAGCCCUUGAGGCUGUGGUACCCUGGCUCCUGACUCACAGAUCCUGUGAGAUAAUAAAAUGGUGCUGUUUCAGCUGCUAAAUGGGUGAUUUGCUAUGAAGGGCAGAAAACAAAGGGAAGCAGUGUGACCAGCAAGAGCGGCCGCUCACUCAUGUCCUUCCAUGUCCGGAGUCAGCAUGGUGUAGACUGAGAAAACAUUUUAUUCAUAUUCCUUUUUCUUUUUGUUUUGAGACGGAGUCUUGCCCUAUCGCCAGGCUGGAGUGCGGUGGCACAAUCUCGCCUCUGGGGUUCAAGCAAUUCUCCUGCCUCAGCCCCCCGAGUAGCUGGGACUACAAGCGUGCGCCACCAUGCCCAGCUAACUUUUUGUAUUUUAGUAGAGACAGGGUUUCACCACGUAGGCCAGGAUGGUCUUGAUCUCCUGACCUCCUGAUCUGCCUGCCUCGGCCUCCCAAAGUGUCAAGAUUAAAGGCAUGAGCCACUGUGCCUGGCCUCCUUUUUCUCUUUUGAGACUGGGCCUUGCUCUGUGGCCCAGGCUGGAGUGCAACUGCGUCUCAAAAAAAAUAAUGAAAAUAAAUAAAAG
rnacentral:lncRNA from 1 species